rnacentral:rRNA from 1 species
GACGAACGCUGGCGGCGUGCUUAACACAUGCAAGUCGAACGGAAAGGCCCUGCUUUUGCGGGGUGCUCGAGAGGCGAACGGGUGAGUAACACGUGAGUAACCUGCCCUUGACUUUGGGAUAACUUCAGGAAACUGGGGCUAAUACCGGAGAGGAGCUCCUGCUGCAUGGUGGGGGUUGGAAAGUGUCGGCGGUUGGGGAUGGACUCGCGGCUUAUCAGCUUGUUGGGGGGGUAGUGGCUUACCAAGGCUUUGACGGGUAGCCCGCAUGGGAGGGUGACCGGCCACAAUGCGACUACGAGACGGACCAGUCUCCAACCUGACGCAACAGUGGAAAGUAUUGCACAACGAGCGGGCGCCAGAUACGACAGCGCCGCGUGCGGAAAACCGGCCUUCUAGUUAUGAACAGCUUUCUACUGAGACGAAGCCUUAGUGACGGUAAUGAGUAAAGAAGCACCGGCUAACUACGUG